rnacentral:rRNA from 1 species
UACGGGGGGGCAAGCGUUGUUCGGAAUUACUGGGCGUAAAGGGCUCGUAGGCGGCCAACUAAGUCAGACGUGAAAUCCCUCGGCUUAACCGGGGAACUGCGUCUGAUACUGGAUGGCUUGAGUUUGGGAGAGGGAUGCGGAAUUCCAGGUGUAGCGGUGAAAUGCGUAGAUAUCUGGAGGAACACCGGUGGCGAAGGCGGCAUCCUGGACCAACACUGACUGCUGAGUGAGCGAAA